UACAGAGGGGGCGAGCGUUGUUCGGAAUUACUGGGCGUAAAGGGCGCGUAGGCGGCCUGCUAAGUCGGACGUGAAAUCCCCUGGCUCAACCAGGGAACUGCGUCCGAUACUGGCGGGCUUGAAUCCGGGAGAGGGAUGCGGAAUUCCAGGUGUAGCGGUGAAAUGCGUAGAUAUCUGGAGGAACACCGGUGGCGAAGGCGGCAUCCUGGACCGGUAUUGACGCUGAAAUACGAAAGCGUGGGGAGCAAACAGG
rnacentral:rRNA from 1 species